rnacentral:lncRNA from 1 species
GUGGUUCUGCCGUGGGUUCGGAUCGGAGGCGUCUCUUGCGGGGAAGGACCGAAGUCUCUAAGCACAGAAAGCCCAGAAGCAUUUUGGUGACUCCUCCCACCCCACCAUUGUCGUCUGCCUCAGCUCCGAAUGGAAUCGUGGAAAAUCAAGGUCGGAAGCUGAAUCUUCUAGGAGCUUCCCCGGAUUUAGGUCCCGGCGUGAAUGCGGUGUUGCACAGAGACAAACCAAAUGCCUCGGGAAGCAUGCACCUGCCUGCCACACAUGGGACACUGGCACGGCUGGUGGCCCUCCGGGAGGGGAGGCUGGUGCCGAAGCGCCCUUGUUUCCAGGUCAAAGGACAGCAGACUCCGUGUGGCAGCCACGGUGCCAGGCUCCGCCAGGACCCUGCGCACACACGUGCUGGCCUCGGGCUCUGCCCCAUGGUCAGCUCAGGAACCGGGCUGAUGUACCGCUCUGUGGUGCGGAGGGGUGUACCACACACGUGCUGCACACACGCCACGUGGCUCCCACACCGCCAGCUUGGCCUCCAUGGGCUGCUGCCGUCCUGCUCCCAUCCCAGGCCUUUGCCCCAACUUGCGAUGCGGCAGAGGGUCGUGUCCUGAUCGCUCCUGCUGGACCCAGCCCGGCCAGCACCCUGGCCCUCUCCUUCCCCAUGGUGGGAGGGCCAGCACCCUGGUGGUCCCCUCGUCUCCUCUGUCCCGGCCUUGCACCCGAGCCCCGCUCCGCCGCUCCUCAGUGAUGUGCACCUUCCUGUCCCCGCCCCAUCCGGUCUGCGCACAGGGCGCCGCAGCCUGGGGCGUUCACCGCGACAUCCCGAUCACCACCGUGCAGGCUCAGUUUUGCCAAAAAACGACAAGAAGCAGCAGUUCGGUGAGGUGAACCCAUAGGAAGUUUCGGUGGUCUUGGCUCUUCAUCGAGCUCGUCAGACGUCUGCAGCGGACCUGGCUGGGCUGUGCCACAGUGGCUCCUGAUGUCCGCCUCGGCUACUCAGCCACCCUCUCCUCAGCUCUGUCCUGUCUCUGAAUUCUGGGGUUGUCUGAGGGUACAGGAGGAGCUGUGCUUGCUGUCUCCCCUGUGCAGCGUCCCCUCCACCUCGCCUCUGAGCUUACCGGUCACUGGCGCCGGCUGCCGGUCGUGGUGACCACACUCGUCCUGGCUGGUGCAUGCGCACAGCCCUGCUUCACCCUCCGUGUCUCCCCGUCUUGGUCCCCUUCCUGUUUGCAAAAGACCUAUCUCCCUACCUCCUGGUACCUGUUUUUUAUUUUGUUCUCACUUAUUUUGUUCUACUUUGAGUUUUUCAGAUAAAGGAAACC